rnacentral:rRNA from 1 species
GACGAACGCUGGCGGCGUGCUUAACACAUGCAAGUCGUACGGUAAGGCCCUUUCGGGGGUACACGAGUGGCGAACGGGUGAGUAACACGUGCGUAACCUGCCCACAACUUUGGGAUAACGCUAGUAAACUGGUGCUAAUACUGGAUAUGUGCUCCUGCUGCAUGGUGGGGGUUGGAAAGCUCCGGCGGUUGUGGAUGGACUCGCGGCCUAUCAGCUUGUUGGUGGGGUAGUGGCCUACCAAGGCGGCGACGGGUAGCCGGCCUGAGAGGGUGACCGGCCACAUUGGGACUGAGAUACGGCCCAGACUCCUACGGGAGGCAGCAGUGGGGAAUAUUGCACAAUGGGCGCAAGCCUGAUGCAGCAACGCCGCGUGCGGGAUGACGGCCUUCGGGUUGGAAACCGCUUUCAGCAGGGACGAAGCUUUUUGUGACGGUACCUGCAGAAGAAGCACCGGCUAACUACGUG